rnacentral:rRNA from 1 species
GGCUCAUUAUAUAAGUUAUCGUUUAUUUGAUAGUACCUUACUACAUGGAUAACCGUGGUAAUUCUAGAGCUAAUACAUGCUAAAAACCUCGACUUCGGAAGAGGUGUGUUUAUUAGAUUAAAAACCAAUGCCCUUCGGGGCUCACUGGCGAUUCAUAAUAACCUCUCGAAUCGCAUGGCCUUGCGCCGGCGAUGGUUCAUUCAAAUUUCUUCCCUAUCAACUUUCGAUGCUAGAGUAGUGUUCUAGCAUGGUUACAACGGGUAACGGAGGGUUAGGGCUCGACCCCGGAGAAGGAGCCUGAGAAACGGCUACUACAUCCAAGGAAGGCAGCAGGCGCGCAAAUUACCCAAUCCCGACACGGGGAGGUAGUGACGAUAAAUACUGAUACAGGGCUCUUUUGGGUCUUGUAAUUGGAAUGAGUACAAUUUAAAUCCCUUAACGAGGAACAAUUGGAGGGCAAGUCUGGUGCCAGCAGCCGCGGUAAUUCCAGCUCCAAUAGCGUAUAUUAAAGUUGUUGUGGUUAAAAAGCUCGUAGUAGAACCUUGGGCCUGGCUGGCCGGUCCGCCUCACCGCGUGCACUGGUCCGGCCGGGCCUUUCCCUCUGUGGAACCGCAUGCCCUUCACUGGGUGUGCCGGGGAAACAGGACUUUUACUUUGAAAAAAUUAGAGUGCUCCAGGCAGGCCUUUGCUCGAAUACAUUAGCAUGGAAUAAUAGAAUAGGACGUGUGGUUCUAUUUUGUUGGUUUCUAGGACCGCCGUAAUGAUUAAUAGGGACAGUCGGGGGCAUCAGUAUUCAAUUGUCAGAGGUGAAAUUCUUGGAUUUAUUGAAGACUAACUACUGCGAAAGCAUUUGCCAAGGAUGUUUUCAUUUAUCAGGAACGAAAGUUAGGGGAUCGAAGACGAUCAGAUACCGUCGUAGUCUUAACCAUAAACUAUGCCGACUAGGGAUCGGACGAUGUUAUUUUUUGACUCGUUCGGCACCUUACGAGAAAUCAAAGUGCUUGGGCUCCAGGGGGAGUAUGGUCGCAAGGCUGAAACUUAAAGAAAUUGACGGAAGGGCACCACCAGGGGUGGAGCCUGCGGCUUAAUUUGACUCAACACGGGGAAACUCACCAGGUCCAGACACAAUGAGGAUUGACAGAUUGAGAGCUCUUUCUUGAUUUUGUGGGUGGUGGUGCAUGGCCGUUCUUAGUUGGUGGAGUGAUUUGUCUGCUUAAUUGCGAUAACGAACGAGACCUUAACCUGCUAAAUAGCCCGUAUUGCUU